ACACACACACAGAGGACUGUACAAUUUCAGGGAAUCCUUAGAAAGCCCUGCUAUUCGGAGUCUCUGAGAACUAAGAUUAAGAAUCCCUGUCCUAGAGGAGAAAAUAUCAAUGAAAACAGUACACAUAGGAAAAAUCAGAGCAAAAAGAAACUUCAUGGAAGAGAAAACAAGUAUAAACAGAAUGAUGGAGGUGUAUUGUGCAGCUCCAAUCAGUAAAAGUGAAAGUGUUUAACACCUUUGUGAAAGAUAAAGCCUCUGAUUGGGUUAAAAAACGAAACCCAACUCUCGCCUUUUACAAGACAUACAGCACCACGCCCCCAAAAAACUACAGCAUAUGUAAAAAGAAAAGUAGAAACAAAAAUGUGAAGAGUAAAUAUCAAAUCAAAUAAAGCAAGGAUAAAAUAUUAGUCUCAAAGGACAAUUUAAAUCCAAAAAAUUAAAUGAGGAAAUGGAGGUCAUUCUAUGUUGGCAAAAGUAACAAUCCUUAAUACAGCUUCUGUGUUCCAUUUUCUUCUCCAAAUAAGCUCCCUUUCCUGCAGUGGAGGGCUUAAGUUGUUUUCCAGUUAAUUUUUCUCUUUGUGGCAUGUCCAGUUGUAUUUGGAAAAUUCUUCAUUUUCAUCUGAUGCGGAAAUUAUUCAAAGAUGCCAAUUUCACGGGACUGUUCUCUCUUUCUACAUCCGGGGCAGGAGUUCUCAAAACUGUAAAUAGCCAUCCAAAAGAGGAACACCGUUUUUGAAUCAUCAGGCCGUUUGCAGGUGGAUGGUGAGUUCCAAGCCUAGGGAACGUUCUCGUGGGUGAAGAACUUCUGCAGGAUAUCAUAUGGCAUAGCCAAUAGUGUAAGAAAAUUCCAGAGACUGACAAAAUGGUAAGUAGGGAACAGAGCUGAGAAUUCUCCUCCUCGUACUUGGUUUCUUUGUGGCCAGUCUUUACCAGAAGAAAAGAACAGGUGCAGGGGGAGUGUCCCCUCAGGGUACGCUGGUUGUAUUCAACAUCUUUUCAACCAACACCAAUGAAAGGACAUUAGCUGGUUUAUUCUAGAGGGUAAGGGUGAACAGCCACAUGAAGAGGUACAUAAGGUGAAUUCCAGAAGGAUCUCAAACACAGCAACUUCAGCCCCAUGGUGUUAGGGUGCUCCCACCUCCUGGCACUGACCCAGAAGUUCAUCAAAUCUGACUGUUCAAGAGUUUUUAUGAAGCUUAGUCUUCAGCACCUCAUCUCCUUCCUAGAGGUCAGUGGAUGGAGCUGAACGUUCUUGGUCUUGGUGAUGACCAGCUCCGUCCUGAGUUUGUCUAGGGGCGCCUACCCUAAGUCACUUCAUUAGCAUGAACCCAGGAAUAAUAAAAAGGGACUUCUUAUGAAUAACAAGAGACACUCCUAUCACUCAGGGUAUCACCAGGGUUUUAGAAGCUCUGUGCCAUGAGCCUGGAAUGAAGACCAAAUACAGAAUUCUUCCUACAUCACGGGAUCACAGGUCCUUUAUAGGUCCUCUCACAGCAAGGCAGCUGACUUCUUGAAG
rnacentral:lncRNA from 10 species